rnacentral:rRNA from 1 species
UACAGAGGUGGCAAGCGUUGUUCGGAAUUACUGGGCGUAAAGGGCGCGUAGGCGGCCUACUAAGUCAGACGUGAAAUCCCCCGGCUUAACCUGGGAACUGCGUCUGAUACUGGAAGGCUUGAGGAUGGGAGAGGGAUGUAGAAUUCCAGGUGUAGCGGUGAAAUGCGUAGAUAUCUGGAGGAACACCGGUGGCGAAGGCGGCAUCCUGGACCGGCAUUGACGCUGAGGAGCGAAAGCCAGGGGAGCAAACGGG